UAAUGGGGAUCCUGCUGUUGCUGAUGAUGGCGCUGAUAAUGGAUUUAAACAAAUAAGACCAUAAUAUCAUACAGCAAAUUGCUUCAUGCCAUUUCAGACGGGCAGUUAACUAGUCUUUCGUAUUGACGCAAAAAGACAUGAGUUUCUGUCAUCAUCGCCGUCAUCAUCAUCAUCAUCAACG
rnacentral:pre_miRNA from 1 species